UACGUAGGUGGCAAGCGUUGUCCGGAAUUAUUGGGCGUAAAGAGCUCGUAGGCGGUCUGUCGCGUCCGUUGUGAAAACUCGAGGCUCAACCUCGGGCUUGCAGUGGAUACGGGCAGACUAGAGUGCGGUAGGGGAGACUGGAAUUCCUGGUGUAGCGGUGGAAUGCGCAGAUAUCAGGAGGAACACCGAUGGCGAAGGCAGAUCUCUGGGCCGCAACUGACGCUGAGGAGCGAAAGCAUGGGGAGCGAACAGG
rnacentral:rRNA from 1 species